UGUUUAUGGUUUCUUUUGAAUAAACAUAGAAAUUGGCCCUCCCAGUCUUAAAACGUAAGAAAGUUACAUUUGUCUUAUCUGAGUUCCUUUCUCAGGGAACCAACCAACAGGCAUCCCAGACAAGAUCAAGGAACUGAAACUUACCAGAUCAUGGCAACUGGACAAAUGAGAUGCCAGGCCCCUCACCUGUCAUGGCUGCCUAACUGACAACCUGUUUCCUGUUAACCAACUCCUUUUCCUUACCCCUCCCUAGUUCCUGCUUUUCCACACAUGGUUACCUUUCUUGCUAUAUAAACUCCCAAUUUUAGUCAGUCAGGGAGAAGGAUUUGAGACUGAUCUCCUAUCUUGGCUAUGGCACUCAUUUAAAGUCUUCUUCGCUGGCAAUACUCCUUGACUCAGUGAUUGGCUUUCUGUGUGGUAAGCAACCAGACCUAGGCUGAACUCCUAAUGUUUCAGGAACAUUUGCAUGUCUCUGAUUCCAAAGAAGUUUUGUGCCACUAUAUUCCUUCUUUGGGGAGCUACCUAUGUCCAUUUUCCACCAGCUGUGUUUCUAUCCUUCUCCUGAAGGAUAAAUUAAGGUGGUAAAAUACUUUGUCAUCAGUUGCAAAUAUUUUCCCCAUCUGUUGUUAGAAUUUUUGUUUUUAAUAUUGUAUAAUCUUCCCUUAUGAGUUCUAAUCUUUAUAUCAAGAUAUUUUCAGAGUCACAUAAACUCAAGAUAUUUUUAUGUAUUUGUAUUUUUUCUUCUCCUUAAAAAAAAA
rnacentral:lncRNA from 1 species